rnacentral:rRNA from 1 species
GACGAACGCUGGCGGCGUGCCUAAUACAUGCAAGUUGAGCGAUGAAGCUUGGUGCUUGCACCAAUUUGAAGAGCAGCGAACGGGUGAGUAACGCGUGGGGAAUCUGCCUUUGAGCGGGGGACAACAUUUGGAAACGAAUGCUAAUACCGCAUAACAACUUUAAACAUAAGUUUUAAGUUUGAAAGAUGCAAUUGCAUCACUCAAAGAUGAUCCCGCGUUGUAUUAGCUAGUUGGUGAGGUAAAGGCUCACCAAGGCGAUGAUACAUAGCCGACCUGAGAGGGUGAUCGGCCACAUUGGGACGGGGACACGGCCCAAACUCCUACGGGAGGCAGCAGUAGGGAAUCUUCGGCAAUGGACGAAAGUCUGACCGAGCAACGCCGCGUGAGUGAAGAAGGUUUUCGGAUCGGAAAACUCUGUUGGUAGAGAAGAACGUUGGUGAGAGUGGAAAGCUCAUCAAGUGACGGUAACUACCCAGAAAGGGACGGCUAACUACGUG